AAUAGAUACCCUGGUAGUCCACGCCGUAAACGAUGAGUGCUAAGUGUUAGAGGGUUUCCGCCCUUUAGUGCUGCAGCUAACGCAUUAAGCACUCCGCCUGGGGAGUACGGCCGCAAGGCUGAAACUCAAAGGAAUUGACGGGGGCCCGCACAAGCGGUGGAGCAUGUGGUUUAAUUCGAAGCAACGCGAAGAACCUUACCAGGUCUUGACAUCCUCUGCCAACCCUAGAGAUAGGGCGUUCCCCUUCGGGGGACAGAGUGACAGGUGGUGCAUGGUUGUCGUCAGCUCGUGUCGUGAGAUGUUGGGUUAAGUCCCGCAACGAGCGCAACCCUUGAUCUUAGUUGCCAGCAUUCAGUUGGGCACUCUAAGGUGACUGCCGGUGACAAACCGGAGGAAGGUGGGGAUGACGUCAAAUCAUCAUGCCCCUUAUGACCUGGGCUACACACGUGCUACAAUGGAUGGUACAAAGAGCUGCGAACCCGCGAGGGUAAGCUAAUCUCAUAAAGCCAUUCUCAGUUCGGAUUGU
rnacentral:rRNA from 1 species